rnacentral:rRNA from 1 species
GACGAACGCUGGCGGCGUGCUUAACACAUGCAAGUCGAACGGACAGGUCCUGCUCUUGUGGGGUGCUCGUGAGGGGCACGGGUGUGUAUAACGUGAGUAACCCGUACUUGUAAUAGGGAUAUCUCCUCGGAACUGGGGCUAUUAUAGCAGAUAAUAUCUCGAUGCGUGGUGUUGGUUGGAGAGUUUCGGCGGUUGGGGCUGGACUCGCGGCUUAUCAGCUUGUUGGUGGGGUAGUGGCGUACCAAGGCUAUGACGGGUAGCCGGCCUGAGAGGGUGACCGGCCACAUUGGGACUGAGAUACGGCCCAGACUGCAACGGGAGGCAGCAGUGGGGAAUAUUGCACAAUGGGCGGAAGCCUGAGGCAGCAACGCCGCGUGCGGGAUGACGGCCUUCGGGUUGUAAACCGCUUUCGCCUGUGACGAAGCGUGAGUGACGGUAAUGGGUAAAGAAGCACCGGCUAACUACGUG